GCGUGUUCUGAGCGGACGGCGUCAGAAGGACUGAGCCGUCUCCCAGAAGUAUGGGAGGAAAACGCUGUGCUGUGCGGGUCCGGCGGGGAAAGGUAAGUGAUUGUUACAGUACCCCCCCCUCGAGAACCGCCAACAGCGGGCAGAACCAGACCCACGUGAACGUCACCUCUCAAAGAAACGAACCAGGCAAGGGGCGUGAACAUCAGAGGUAUCCGCCCAUGAACGUUCCUCGGGACCGUAUCCUCUCCAAUCUAGGAGAUACUGCAAUUUACCCCUGGAAAUACGGGAAUCUAAUAUAGACUUAACUUCGUAUUCAUUCUGAUCUUCUAUGAGUGCGUCAGGAGGAUUCGAGGUAUUUUGAGUAUAAUGAUUACAUAUUAAAGGUUUGAGGAGGGAAACAUGAAAAGAGUUAGAAAUCUUCAUGGCAUUCGGCAAGCGCAUGCUAUAACAGACUGGGUUAAUGCGUCUGAGUACUUGUAAAGGAC